UGGGAGCUGAGGGACUGCUGGACUUGCUGAGAGACUUGCUGGACUUGGUGGAUUUGCUGAGGGACUGCUGGACUUGGUGGAUUUGCUGAGGGACUGCUGGACUUGCUGAGGGACUGCUGGACUUUCUUGACUUGCUGAGGGACUUUCUUGACUUGCUGAGGGACUGUUGGACUUGCUGAGGGACUUGCUGGACUUGCUGAGAGACUUGCUGGACUUGGUGGACUUGCUGAGGGACUGCUGGACUUUCUUGACUUGCUGAGGGACUUUCUUGACUUGCUGAGGGACUGUUGGACUUGCUGAGGGACUUGCUGGACUUGCUGAGAGACUUGCUGGACUUGGUGGAUUUGCUGAGGGACUGCUGGACUUGGUGGAUUUGCUGAGGGACUGCUGGACUUGCUGAGGGACUGCUGGACUUUCUUGACUUGCUGAGGGACUUUCUUGACUUGCUGAGGGACUGUUGGACUUGCUGAGGGACUUGCUGGACUUGCUGAGGGACUGCUGGACUUGGUGGACUUGCUGAGGGGAAAAUGUCCUGACUCUGCUUUGGUGUUUCUGCCUUACCUGGAACCACAUUCACUCCUACACCGAACAUUCCUUCAGGUUUGGACCGAAGGCCGUCUGCCGAGUCUGCGGAUUAUUGCUGUAAAUAGAAUUUUACUGAAUGAGACGAGUCUUUGUUCCUCCCGCGCAAGCAGUUCUGUUCUUGUGUGCGACCAGUAACCUUAAUUUACUGUGUAAAGAUGGUUACAUAUUCUAGCUUGUUUGUUCCAGACCCAGAUAUAAAUGCUUGUUUACUUUCUGUAUAUCCUUAAACGUGAACUUCCAGUUAAGUGUAUUAUACAAACUCUUUUCUUCCUGUAACGAUGUCUUGUACAAUGCUUUUAAAGUUAUUGCUCGCUUUAAAAAAGAAAAGACAAAAAAGAAAUAGGGACAGAAGGAAAAUCCAUCCUGGUUUGGUCCAGUUUGAUUAUUUUCUUUUGUUUUGACUCCUGGCUGAUGUGUUUCCUCUUGUGAAAUGGUCACAUUAUGUUCCUGAUGUGGAAAUGCAGCAUUUUCAGCAGCUCCUUGUCUAGAUGAAGAUGUUAACUACAUGUUUCUGGCAUGUGCACGGCUUCUAGGCUAACCCAUCAUCCUCCCUCUGCUGCAGAUACAAAUGUCUAUGAAUUUUGCUUGUAGUUUUUCACAAAUAAAACUGUCAAAGUUCCA